rnacentral:rRNA from 1 species
CCUACGGGUGGCUGCAGUGGGGAAUCUUGGACAAUGGGCGAAAGCCUGAUCCAGCAAUGCCGCGUGCGUGAAGAAGGCCUUCGGGUUGUAAAGCGCUUUUGUCGGGGAGGAAAUCCUAACGGUUAAUACCUGUUGGGGAUGACAGUACCCGAAGAAUAAGCACCGGCUAACUACGUGCCAGCAGCCGCGGUAAUACGUAGGGUGCAAGCGUUAAUCGGAAUUACUGGGCGUAAAGCGUCCGCAGGUGGCUUGAUAAGAUAGACGUGAAAUCCCUGGGCUCAACCUAGGAAUUGCGUAUAUGACUGUCUCGCUAGAGUAUGGGAGAGGGGGGUGGAAUUCCGCGUGUAGCAGUGAAAUGCGUAGAGAUGCGGAGGAACACCGAUGGCGAAGGCAACCCCCUGGCCUAAUACUGACACUCAUGGACGAAAGCGUGGGGAGCAAACAGGAUUAGAUACCCUAGUAGUC